rnacentral:tRNA from 1 species
GCAGUGGUGGUUCAGUGGUAGAACUCUUACCUUCCAAGAGGGAGACCUGGGUUUGAUCCCCAGCCAAUGCA